GGGCGGGGAGAACGAUCGAAAUGAGAUUGAGAUAGAAAUCGAAAGCGUGAGGAAGAGGAGGAGGAGGAAGACGAUGCUCCCAUUCGUUGAACAUCCAUAUGGAAUAGAGCAAAAUGGAAAUGCCAACGAAGGAUUGAAGGAAAUUGAGGAAUUUGAGAACGAAAGCGAGCGAAACGUGACAGGUAUUGAAACGCAUCGUAUUUAUUAGGGUUCCCUUAUUAUUUCCCUGCGUAUGCUGAAUUCAAGAUUUUCACUGAUUUGUUUAUCGGCAACUCGGACGACUACACCACAUUCGCAGAUCUCCUCCUCCACACUUUGCCUUCCACUAUUUCCUAUUCUUUAUUUCAACUUUUUUAAUUUUAUAUAUAUAUAUAUAUAUAUAUAUAUAUAUAUAUAUAUAUAUAUAUAUAUAUUUAUAUAUAAUAAACAGAAUCUUAUUUAUUUAUUUUUCGAUCAACAAGUACGAAUCCAAUUAUAAUUAUAAUCCCAUGCCCCUCUCGAGACAUUUUUACUCUCAAAUUUGUACAAGUUUUCCUAAGAACAAGUUUAUACAUUUAAAAUCUAGUAAAUUUAACUAUUUUAAAUUUAUUUUUUAUUAAAAAAAUAUAUGUUUUCGUAAAUAUUAAAAUAAAAUCCAAUAUGAUUUAUACCAAAAAUAAAAUGGUAUGGUGGUUACUUCUCUUUAUUUAAUUCUAAUUCAUAAAUUAAUUUAUUUUUUUUCUUUUUAAUAUAUUUUAGGGAUAGUUUUGAAUUAAGAGAAAGAGGGUAAAAAUAAAUAAAUAAAAGUUUAUUCCAUGGUUAAGUAAGUGAGAGAGCAAAAGAUUUUUUUGAGUAUAAGUGAAAAAUAUAAGUAUGUGCGUGAAUUAUAUUUUAUAAGGAGUUUGUAAAACAUGGUUAUUAUGUGAAGCAUUAGGAGUGUAAUGACAAGUAAUCAAUCCAAAAAUGAGAUGUUACAAUGACUAUAUGAUAUAAAUACAAGCUUUUGAUUAAAAGUGUCUGAGUUUUAAUGGGUCAUUAAGACCUUUUUAUUGGUUAAAUAUGUAUACAAGCCUCUUAAAUUCAAAAUUUUUUAUUUGAUAUAAUGACUUGACUUAUUAGAAAACUGAUUAAGUUGUGACUAACUUAUUCAUGCAGGUGGAAUAGAUUUGGUGAUGAUUAGUCCUUCGUCUGAGUCUAAAUUUACUUUUCUCUAUAAAUAGGAUAACCUUUUUAUCGGGGUUGUAGGCAAUUUUUAUUACUAUUAUUUUUAGGGUACUGUAAACUUAUUUUAUUGUGAUGUCAUUCUAGUUUUUUUAUUUUUUGUUACAUUAUUGAAGGAUUUUGAGUGAUAAUUUCUUUAGGCAUGCAAAGUAGCCUUUCAUAUUUAAUGCAUUUAACUUUCAUACUGUCAUGAAAUCAUCUUAUUGGUUUGAGCAAUGGAUGCAAAACACCAAAGAUCGUGUCUGUUUGGAAGGAAGUGAUGCUUGAGUGAACCUAAACCUUUUGAGUCCUAACACUUCAUCUCCUCUUUGUUUUAAUUUAUUUUGCUUUAUUUAUUCCUCAUAUUAUCUCCUUCUACAUUCUCUGCAUUUUUCACUCUCAAAAUGCACUUUCUUCAAGCUUUACUUACAUUUAUUGAUGGCAACCCCUAAAGGGACUUUCCAUCCAAAGAAGCAUCAACUACACUAAGACUAUGAAAGGGAAGUUGAUUGAGAACUUAAUCUUUUCUUUCUAAAGUCUUAGCAUGAUUAUCUUUGCUAAAUACUUUUACAUUGCUUUUGAAGGACAUUAAUAAAGGGGAGGAAACAUGUUUAUGCAACUCAAGAGGGCUGCCAAGCAAGCAAAGACAAAGAAGCAAAGAAGAGACUGGCGCUCAAGCGUCCACCAGGCGCCGCUCAAGCGCCAGCAAGACAGCUUCAUCUUCUUCAUUGAUUUUGCUGAGUUGGCAAGUUGUAUGUUUUACAUCAUGUGCACAUUAGAAUAGCUUGCCUAACACACUUGGAAGCUCUCCUUCUUCUAUACAUAGAGAGCUUCAUCACUUGUAAUAUCAACUUUGAAUACAUAAUGAGAUGCUGUUGAGAUUUC
rnacentral:lncRNA from 1 species